rnacentral:rRNA from 1 species
AAGUCAUAACAAGGUUUCCGUAGGUGAACCUGCGGAAGGAUCAUUAGAGAUGCCGGCUCUGCUGGCUUAUCCACAUACACCGUGAACCGUGGCUUCGGCCUCUUUUACAAACUAUAUUGUGUCUGAAUGUAUAUUAUAUAACAAAACAAAACUUUCAACAACGGAUCUCUUGGCUCUCGCAUCGAUGAAGAACGCAGCGAAAUGCGAUAAGUAAUGUGAAUUGCAGAAUUCAGUGAAUCAUCGAAUCUUUGAACGCACCUUGCACCCUUUGGUAUUCCGAAGGGUAUGCCUGUUUGAGUGUCAUGAAACCUCAUCCUGAUCAUUUUCUUGAAAUGAUUAGUGAUGGAUUGGGUGUUUGCCUUUCUCGGCUCGCCUUAAAAGUCUAAGUGGUCUGGAUGUAAUACGUUUCGUCCUUGACUGACUCUUAACCCAUCUUUCAAAUCUGACCUCAAAUCAGGUAGGGCUACCCGCUGAACUUAA